UACAGAGGGUGCAAGCGUUAAUCGGAAUUACUGGGCGUAAAGCGUGCGUAGACGGUAGCGUAAGUCGGGUGUGAAAGCCCCGGGCUCAACCUGGGAAUGGCAUUCGAGACUGCUCUGCUAGGGUGCGGAAGAGGGGAGCGGAAUUUCCGGUGUAGCGGUGAAAUGCGUAGAUAUCGGAAGGAACACCAGUGGCGAAAGCGGCUCCCUGGUCCAGCACCGACGUCAGGCACGAAAGCGUGGGGAGCAAACAGG
rnacentral:rRNA from 1 species